UGGGGAAUUUUGGGCAAUGGGCGAAAGCCUGAUCCAGCAAUGCCGCGUGUGUGAAGAAGGCCUUCGGGUUGUAAAGCACUUUUGUCCGGAAAGAAAUCCUUGGCUCUAAUACAGUCGGGGGAUGACGGUACCGGAAGAAUAAGCACCGGCUAACUGCGUGCCAGCAGCCGCGGUAAUACGUAGGGUGCAAGCGUUAAUCGGAAUUACUGGGCGUAAAGCGUGCGCAGGCGGUUUGCUAAGACCGAUGUGAAAUCCCCGGGCUCAACCUGGGAACUGCAUUGGUGACUGGCAGGCUAGAGUAUGGCAGAGGGGGGUAGAAUUCCACGUGUAGCAGUGAAAUGCGUAGAGAUGUGGAGGAAUACCGAUGGCGAAGGCAGCCCCCUGGGCCAAAUACUGACGCUCAUGCACGAAAGCGUGGGGGAGCAAAACAGGAUUAGAUACCCUGGUAGUCCACGCCCUAAACGAUGUCAACUAGUUGUUGGGGAUUCAUUUCCUUAGUAACGUAGCUAACGCGUGAAGUUGACCGCCUGGGGAGUACGGUCGCAAGAUUAAAACUCAAAUGAAUUGACGGGGUCAUAGCUGUUUCCU
rnacentral:rRNA from 1 species